ACCUGGGUUAGUCCUACACGGCCAGCUCCCUAUAAAUCCCCCAGGUCUUGACCGAAGCAAGGGUAGUGGGUUGAGCGGCGCGAUGUAGCACGCUAACCCU
rnacentral:SRP_RNA from 1 species